rnacentral:rRNA from 1 species
UACGAAGGGGGGCUAGCGUUGCUCGGAAUCACUGGGCGUAAAGGGUGCGUAGGCGGGUCUUUUAAGUCAGGGGUGAAAUCCUGGAGCUCAACUCCAGAACUGCCUUUGAUACUGAAGAUCUUGAGUUCGGGAGAGGUGAGUGGAACUGCGAGUGUAGAGGUGAAAUUCGUAGAUAUUCGCAAGAACACCAGUGGCGAAGGCGGCUCACUGGCCCGAUACUGACGCUGAGGCACGAAAGCGUGGGGGAGCAAACAGGG